UGCAUUAUUUGCAGCAAAAGAACAAGUUACUUGUCUUCCUCUUCUACUUAUGUACCCAUGUUAUAGUUUACUGCUUUAUCAGUUAGAUCAGCGCAAGUGUUUGUUUUUGAACUUGUGCAAGCUGGAUAAUUAAAUGUCUCAGUUAAACUAAGCAAUUAUAUUUACCUCUUAUCACUCAGUUGUAGGGUCAUACAGUAGUCCAGGUUGUUAACAGCUCUACUGCCACAGCUAAGGACUAGAUAUGCUGCAGUAUGGGAAUGGGCAGAAAUUAUCAGGAACAUAGGGAUGGCUGAAAGUCUUGAGUAUUUUGUGUUGGUUUUUUUAACUAGUUUUGCCACUGGAGAAAAAUAAUGUAAAGGUGUACUGUUAGCUACUUUAUAUUGGUUACUUUAUGUCCUAGAAGGUACUUGAUUUUUCUUGCUUGAUAUAUCAGAUAAAAAUUCAUGAGUGAGUCUUACAGUUCUACCAUGAUAGUUUGAAUAUUCAAUUUGUUUAUAUGGACACUUAGCCAAAAAAGUGAUGUACUGGCUGUCUUGCAAGGUGAAACUUUUCAUCUGAAUUAAUGCAGUCUCAUAACUUUUGAAAUAAAUAAAACCCACUGACACAUCUAAACACUUUAAAAUGUUGUUUAGUAGAAUAAUGAGUAAUUUGAUCCUUAGUGAAAAGGACAUAAUUCAAAUCCUGACCCUAUGUAGAAGUGUUAAAGGAAUUGCAACAAGGUGAACCUCCACAUUUGUUAGAGAUGAAUACCAGUUUUGGGACCGCUUUGAUAUAAAUCAUGUGAGGGAGGACAUUUAUUGAUGGCAUAAUUGUCUAGUUUUGCCUAUUCUAUUAUCUUGUUUGUUUGAAGAAUCUGACACCUUUUUCUUGUUUCCUUUUAAAUUUUCAGGCCACAGCCAAGUACAUCAUCAUCUUUAUUACUGUGCAGUACAGUGUCACCUAUACUAUUGGUGAGAUUAAAUAAAAUCUAUUCCGUUUUUGGGUAAUAGGAAAGCUCAACUAUUUAAAAGUUACCUUUUUUUCCCUUCCCAGAACUUCACUUUUAUAGUACAAAUAUCUUACCAGUGUUGGAGCUGCAUCAGGUAAAAAUCUCCAGUGACAAAAGUAAAAUCCACUUAUAGAUACCAAGUUGUUUCUGGUGUGACCUCUUCAUAGGGCUUGGUUUUAUGUAUGGCUGCAUGUAAAUGGUGCAAUCAAGGUAUAGUUUCCUUUAGUAUUAAAAGAAGGUUUGGUUGAGUUUUGCACCAGAAACUUCUGAGGUCUAGACUUGCAAAUAUGUUACAAGUGAGUAUCUCUCUUGAUAAGUAGUGCCAGCAGGAAUAGCAUUUGAUAUGCAAUUGCUUGUUCAUUGGUAAAUAUAAACAAAAGUAUUAAUAUGAAUAAUUUGAAAAUAUAUAUAUUUAAGUGUAUGGGCAGCUUCACUCCAUACUUUUUGGACCUUCUGAAGUAUUGUUCUGGGAGUACAUGAAGCCAAUAUGCUAUCUGGCAAAUACAGAAGAAUUUAACCUGAAAACUAAACAGUAAUUCAGAUGAAGGCAAUGAAAGCUUGAAAACUCAUCUUCUAGCACGAGACUGAUUAAUUUUAAGAUAAUGUUUGAAAGCAGCUAGAAAUCUUAUUACUUUUUCCAUCAUGAGCUCAUCAGUUAACACUCACCCUUAAUACUUACUGCCUGUACAUGUGAGGGAUUUUGAAUCUAUGUGACUUUUCAUUCAUAGACUGCUUGGCAGAAGGGACUUUAGUCACACAAUUUCCUAUCAGCUGUUGAAAGCUAUGGUCAAGACUCCUUGAUAAGCAUGACUGUUUUUAUCAGUAUGCUUGCAUACAAUUCCUAUUCAUUUAUUGUGUGACUUUGCCUUGGGUAAAAGCUUUCUGUUGCAUCUGUUUCCUGUGGUAUGAAGAUGUAAAUUGUUUUAAUAACAGACUAAUGGGAAAAAAGUAGGUACAAAUUUGCAGUCCGUUAAUGAAUAACUGUGCAGAAACUUUUAUCUAAGUUUCAGUCAUAAAUCUCACUAGGAUUACCUGUCUGGAUGCUCUUUGUCUAACACAGGCCUGGAUGAUGUGGAAAUCUAUAAAUUUUCAGCAUAAGAAAUGGAAAUAGCAUAUUAAGAACUUAAUUCCAAAGGAAAAAAUAAUUAAGAACCAGCCAACAAAAGAGGAAGUGAGCAGAGGUUGGUGGCAUAAUAAAUACUUACUGAAAUGAUAUAUUUUUAAGUUCUUCCUAGUACAAAUAUUUUCAUAUAAGAUGUCUUUCUGUGAAAGCACGAAUGUAUCUAUCUUCUGAUAUUAUUCGUGUGUGUGUGUGUGUGUGUGUGCUUCCAACCCAUGCCAUUCUAUGGUAUGUAGAGAAUAUUUACAACAUAAUAGCUUCUUUAAAAUUAUGACAAGUUCUUCUCUAAUUACUAACAGGAUAGCACACAGAGCUAACCAUAUUUAGUGUUACCUUUGGAUGAUCCUGGGGAUUAGUGUUGUCACCAAAUUCUGUAUUUAUCUAAAUGUGAGAAAUAUUUCAUGAAACUGAUUUAAUGGUUUUUUUUUUCCUAUUUGAAAUCUGUCUUUUACAGUGCCUCAAACCUUAUUUUCCUUCACAAAAAGACUGUCAUCUGAAAUCCCUUCUGUAUCUCAUCUAUUCUGUUCCUAAUAUGUUUCAGACCAUUAACAUUCAGUUUGUUUGCCUGUUCUUCUCAAUAAAGACACAUUAUAUAAAGAAUAUCAGAUUUAUUGAAAAAGAACUCUGAAGGAAUAGCCCGGUUACUGGCAUAGGACAUUUAGCGGAAAUAAUUAGUGUCAUUUAUUAAAAUAGUAUUUUAUUUAUUAUUUAAAUAGUAUUUAUUAAAAAUUAUUAAAAAUAUUUAUUAUUUAAAUAGUAUUUAUUAAAAAUACUAUUUUUAAUAAAUGACAUGACUUGCAAAUCCCAGUAUUUUGUCACUUGGGAGCUAUGAAGAUUCUAUGAAAUUUCAUAUUUCUCUUAGCGCAUAUACAUAUACAUAAAUAUUGAAUAGUGUCAGCAUAUGGCUAUUAUACCUUUUUGAAAUCAAUCUGUGUUAGUUU
ensembl:lncRNA